rnacentral:misc_RNA from 1 species
UUGUAUGAGGGAUUUCAGCAGCAUCCAUUAUUUUCUUCCUUUAAGAAAAUAAAGACAAAGUGGAUAAUCCGACCGGCU